rnacentral:rRNA from 1 species
CAGUCGCCGCGGUAAUACGUAAGGUGCAAGCGUUAAUCGGAAUUACUGGGCGUAAAGCGUGCGUAGGCGGUGAGUUAAGUCUGCUGUGAAAUCCCCGGGCUCAACCUGGGAAUGGCAGUGGAUACUGGCUCGCUAGAGUGUGUCAGAGGAUGGUGGAAUUCCCGGUGUAGCGGUGAAAUGCGUAGAGAUCGGGAGGAACAUCAGUGGCGAAGGCGGCCAUCUGGGGCAACACUGACGCUGAGGCACGAAAGCGUGGGGAGCGAACAGGAUUAGAUACCCCAGUAGUCCCUGUCUCUUAUAC